UACUCACCUGUGUGCAGAGGGCAGGCAGCAGUGGCACAAACCAAGAACGUUGCACAACCAGGCCUGGGAGAGAAAAUUACCAUGAUGUCUACAAAACCAAAGCAGAGAAGGAGCACACUAUACAAAAACAACAGUGGAGAGUUGCUGGAUGUGUUUGUCC